ensembl:lncRNA
GUGGCAUAGUGUCAGGGUGGUAGAGUGGUAUAGUGUCAGGGUGGUAGAGUGUCAGGGUGGUAGAGUGUCAGGAUGGUAUAGUGUCAGGGUGGUAGAGUGUCAGGGUGGUAGAGUGGUAUAGUGUCAGGGUGGUAGAGUGGUAGAGUGUCAGGGUGGUAGAGUGUCAGGGUGGUAGCGUGUCAGGGUGGUAGAGUGUCAGGGUGGUAGAGUGCCAGGGUGGUACAGUGGUACGAUGACUAUCAUACCCUGUAGCAUGAAGCAAUAUAUUCACACUAUCAUAACCUGUAGAAUGAAGCAAUAUAUUCACACUAUCAUACCCUGUAGAAUGAAGCAACAGUCGUAUGGACAGAACUUAGUUGACAGUCAGGGUGGUAUAGUGUCAGGGUGGUAGAGUGUCAGGAUGGUAGAGUGUCAGGGUGGUAGAGUGUCAGGAUGGUAGAGUGUCAGGGUGGUAGAGUGGUAGAGUGUCAGGGUGGUAGAGUGGUAGAGUGUCAGGGUGGUAGAGUGUCAGGGUGGUAGAGUGUCAGGGUGGUAGAGUGUCAGGGUGGUAGAGUGUCAGGGUGGUAGAGUGGUAGAGUGUCAGGGUGGUAGAGUGUCAGGGUGGUAGAGUGUCAGGAUGGUAGAGUGUCAGGGUGGUAGAGUGGUAUAGUGUCAGGGUGGUAGAGUGUCAGGGUGGUACAGUGUCAGGGUGGUAGAGUAUGAGGGUGGUAGAGUAUGGGGGUGGUACGAUGUCAGGGUGGUAGAGUGUCAGGGUGGUAGAUUGGUAUGAUGUCAGGGUGGUAGAGUGUGAGGGUGGUACAAUGUCAGGGUGGUAGAUUGGUACGAUGUCAGGGUGGUAGAGUGUCAGGAUGGUAGAGUGUGAGGGUGGUGGGAUGUCAGGGUGGUGGAGUGUCAGGGUGGUACAGUGUGAGGGUGGUAGGAUGUCAGGGUGGUACAGUGUGAGGGUGGUAGGAUGUCAGGGUGGCAGAGUGUGAGGGUGGACACAGUCACACUCACCUUGCCUCCUUUGUCUGCACUGUAGAGCUGCAUGCACAGGGAGGCAGAGAGGAGAGGGGGAACAAGAGAAGAGAAGAGAAGAGAGCAUAUUGAGUUAGAGACAGUUGGAGGAGAGCAGGCCUGAUGGGAAAUAACCAGACAGCAGACAGUAUCAUGGUUAAAGGAAAUAACCAGACAGUACCAUGGUUAAAGGAAAUAACCAGACAGUACCGUGGU